rnacentral:rRNA from 1 species
AGUGAACGCUGGCGGUAGGCCUAACACAUGCAAGUCGAACGGCAGCACAGUAAGAGCUUGCUCUUACGGGUGGCGAGUGGCGGACGGGUGAGGAAUAUAUCGGAAUCUACUUUUUCGUGGGGGAUAACGUAGGGAAACUUACGCUAAUACCGCAUACGACCUACGGGUGAAAGCAGGGGAUCUUCGGACCUUGCGCGAUUGAAUGAGCCGAUGUCGGAUUAGCUAGUUGGCGGGGUAAAGGCCCACCAAGGCGACGAUCCGUAGCUGGUCUGUGAGGAUGAUCGGCCACACUGGAACUGGGACACGGUCCAGACUCCUACGGGAGGCAGCAGUGGGGAAUAUUGGACAAUGGGCGCAAGCCUGAUCCAGCCAUACCGCGUGGGUGAAGAAGGCCUUCGGGUUGUAAAGACCUUUUGUUGGGAAAGAAAAGCAGCAGGUUAAUACCCCGCUGUUCUGACGGUACCCAAAGAAUAAGCACCGGCUAACUUCGUG